CAUUUGCAAAAGUGAUAACACUCUCUGAAGGCUGGUUGUCUUGUUGGAAGGAGACACAAGGCUUGCAAUGUAAUUGGUAAAGGGCUGCGGCUCAUCAAAUGUCAAGAGAAUGGCACCUCCUUUCUUCUGAGGAUGGAUGAGGAUUUGGGAAGAACACUGAACUGACAGUGGACUCUGUGCUCUACAAGACACAAAAGAAGAAUAUAGUCCCUGAUAUGAUGAGCUUGUGAUCAGAAUAUGCUGUGGAAUUCAGAGGUAAUGCGUUCGAAUAUCACCAUCUCCCUGGGUGAUGGAAGACAAGGCAGAACUGGGCUGCAGAAAAUACAUAAUCCCAUUCAAAGUAGCCAGGUAAAGCUGCGAACCAGCCUUUGUGUUGUUCCAAGCAACAAUGGCUCAUGUCACUGGCCUACACAUCUCCAGGGAGAAGGGACAGCUCCAAGGCAGUGGCUCUCAACCUUUCCAGACGACUGUCCCCCUUUCAGCCGUCUGAUUUGUCUUGUGUACCCCAAGUUUCACCUCGCUUAAAAACUACUUGCUUACAAAAUCAGGCAUUAUC